GCCACCAUGCCCUGCCCCUCGGUGACUUCAUCCACGACGACUCCAGCAACAGUCUUCGAGCCUGCUACCACGAAUUGGUUGCUCUGUCCAGAGCUUUUCUCCCAACUUCUGUACAUCAGGCAGACGUGUUUGUUCAGAUUUUCCUUCAUUGCGAUUUGUGCACACAACCUGUUUGUUGAAAUGACUACCUGCUAAUCCUCUUAUGCACAUGCAAAAUACUUCUCCAGGUUAGAUUGGAGGAUUAAUCAUUUCAUUCAAGGAGUUCUUUGUUGUUCAUGAGGUGCUUUUCCACUCGCCAAUCCUCUCUGUUGAACCAGCAUGUGUUCUUUGUCACAGAGAUCGGCCGCCCCAAAACAAGAUUGUUUUGUUGACAUCUUCGGAGAUAGAGUGCAGUUGAUUUUGUUGAUUGCAUAUUUGCGUCAGAUUGUUCAAGCGUUUUAACUAGGCAUGCUUGGAUUUGCAGUGUUGGAAGACAUGUAUAUGGUAUCGCACCUAUUGCCAUUCACAUCAAUUCCUUGCCUCGAUCUAGAGGGAAGAUGAGCCAUGGCCUUCUGCUUUCAUUGAGCAUGCACAUUGCCUACUCUGGUGUUGAUUAUCGCCAAGGCGCUGCACGAUGUCUUUGAAGUAUUAGAAGUUGGCAUUGAAGAAACUAGAAAGCAGAGGCGCGGCGGCACGCCGCGCCCGAGCAUUUACAUAUUUUGUAGGCAUCGUUUGU